UCCCUGGUGGUCCAGUGGCUAAGACUCUGCACUCCCAAGGCAGAGGGCCCAGGUUUGACCCCUGGUCAGGAAC
rfam:TPA: Bos taurus chromosome X, whole genome shotgun sequence.